GCCAGGUGUGGUGGUGUGCACCUAUAAUUCUAGCUACUUGGGAGGCUGAGGUGGGAGGAUUGCUUGAGCCCAGGAGGUUGAGACUGCAGUGAGCUGUGUUUGCACCACUGCACUCCAGCCUGGGCAACAGAGCAAGACCCUGUUUCAA
rnacentral:SRP_RNA from 1 species